GCCGGUUUGGGCGCGGGCGAUGCUGGGCCGGUCGGCCCAAAACGGUCGGGCCGGUCCGGUUUCCCCCUUUUUUUCUUUUAGCCUUUUUCUUUUUCUGUUUUUCUUAUGUCUUUGAUAACUUUUGACAUGGACAAUAUGACAUGGCAACUCUAUCGGACUGAAAGUACCAAACACGGGUGAUUCUAGCUAACAACAUACAAGUUGAAAAUAAUAAUACAACAUAUAUGAUCAUCCAAGCAAGGCAGACACACCUCAACUAAGAAUGGCAUUGGAACAAUAUCAAAGUUCUACUAAACCUCAACUAAGAAUGGCAUUGGAACAAUAUCAAAGUUCUACAUGAAUCAUGGAGUAUUGGAACAACUACAAGAACUAAACUAUAGCAAAAUGCAUUGCCAUAGUAUAAGCCUACUCUAUGCAAUAUAAGCAAGAAGUAUACUAAACUCCAAAGCAUGACUGACAUAGACACAC
rnacentral:lncRNA from 1 species